GAUGAACGCUGGCGGCGUGCCUAAUACAUGCAAGUCGAGCGAACAGACGAGGAGCUUGCUCCUCUGACGUUAGCGGCGGACGGGUGAGUAACACGUGGAUAACCUACCUAUAAGACUGGGAUAACUUCGGGAAACCGGAGCUAAUACCGGAUAAUAUAUUGAACCGCAUGGUUCAAUAGUGAAAGACGGUUUUGCUGUCACUUAUAGAUGGAUCCGCGCCGCAUUAGCUAGUUGGUAAGGUAACGGCUUACCAAGGCAACGAUGCGUAGCCGACCUGAGAGGGGGAUCGGCCACACUGAGACUGAGACACGGUCCAGGCUCCUACGGGAGGCAGCAGUAGGGAAGCUUCCGCAAUGGGCGAAAGCCUGACGGAGCAACGCCGCGUGAGUGAUGAAGGUCUUCGGAUCGUAAAACGCUGUUAUUAGGGAAGAACAAAUGUGUAAGUAACUAUGCACGUCUUGACGGUACCUAAUCAGAAAGCCACGGCUAACUACGU
rnacentral:rRNA from 1 species